ACCUACCCCGAAGACCGGGACAACACCGGGAAACCGGUGCUAAUACUGGAUAUCCCCAUCGGAUCGCAUGGUUUGAUGAGGAAAUGGAUUCCGCUUCGGGAGGGGCUCGCGGCCUAUCAGCUAGUUGGUGAGGUAACGGCUCACCAAGGCUUCGACGGGUAGCUGGUCUGAGAGGACGAUCAGCCACACUGGGACUGAGACACGGCCCAGACUC
rnacentral:rRNA from 1 species